AUUGAACGCUGGCGGCAUGCCUUACACAUGCAAGUCGAACGGUAACAGGUCUUCGGUUGCUGACGAGUGGCGAACGGGUGAGUAAUACAUCGGAACGUGCCCGAUCGUGGGGGAUAACGGAGCGAAAGCUUUGCUAAUACCGCAUACGAUCUACGGAUGAGAGCCGGGGACCGCAAGGCCUUGCGCGGACGGAGCGGCCGAUGGCAGAUUAGGCAGUUGGUGGGAUAAAAGCUUACCAAGCCGACGAUCUGUAGCUGGUCUGAGAGGACGACCAGCCACACGGGAACUGAGACACGGGCAAGAAGGCUACGGGAGGAAGCAGUAGGGAAGCUUCAGCAAAGGGCGAAAGCCUGACGGAGCAAUGCCGCGGGAGGGAUGAAGGUAUUCGGAUCGUAAAACUCUGUUAUGAGGGAAGAACAAACGUGUAAGUAACAGUGCACGUCGUGACGGUACCUAAGCAGAAAGCCACGGCUAACUACGUG
rnacentral:rRNA from 1 species